UGCUUUGUCAGGCUGAAUACUAACUUUGGAUUGAUAUGGAAAACAUUAGCAUGGCACCUGUGCAAGGAUGACAUGCAAAUCCAUGCAACAUUCCAUAUUUUU
rnacentral:snRNA from 1 species